rnacentral:rRNA from 1 species
CCUACGGGAGGCAGCAGUGGGGAAUAUUGGACAAUGGGCGAAAGCCUGAUCCAGCCAUGCCGCGUGUGUGAAGAAGGUCUUCGGAUUAUCAAGCACUUUAAGUUGGGUGGAAGGGCAGUAAAUUAAUACUUUGCUGUUUUGACGUUACCGACAGAAUAAGCACCGGCUAACUCUGUGCCAGCAGCCGCGGUAAUACAGAGGGUGCAAGC